rnacentral:rRNA from 1 species
GAAUACAAAUUCAAUGUACCCAUCCAUGACCCGGUCAUUCGGUGUUGUGUUAUGGUGUCAUGUUACUAACAAUAAACGACUCUCGGCAACGGAUAUCUCGGCUCUCGCAUCGAUGAAGAACGUAGCGAAAUGCGAUACUUGGUGUGAAUUGCAGAAUCCCGUGAACCAUCGAGUUUUUGAACGCAAGUUGCGCCCGAAGCCUUUGGCUAAGGGCACGUCUGCCUGGGCGUCACGCAUCGCGUCUCCCCCACUACCAAUCACAUUGGUGGGGAAGGAUGAUGGCUUCCCGUGCCUCACCGGGUGCGGUUGGCUUAAACUUGGAGCCCAUGGUAAAUAUUUGCCGCGGCGAUAGGUGGUGAACUUGGCUUAGGCCGUGUAAACAACCCGUUGCGGUGUGUUAGUGUGGGCUCGUUGGACCCAAUGUUUUGCAUUGUGCAAUUCAAACCUUUGCG